ensembl:lncRNA
GAAUUAGGCAGGGCUGAUGAAUUAGGCAGGUGUGAUGAAUUAGGCAGGUCUGAUGAAUUAGGCAGGGCUGAUGAAUUAGGCAGGGCUGAUGAAUUAGGCAGGUCUGAUGAAUUAGGCAGGGCUGAUGAAUUAGGCAGGUCUGGUGAAUUAGGCAGUGGUGAUGAAUUAGGAAGGUCUGAUGAAUUAGGCAGGUCUGAUGAAUUAGGUAGGUUUGAUGAAUUAGGCAGGUCUGGUGAAUUAGGCAGGUCUGGUGAAUUAGGCAGGUCAGGUGAAUUAGGCAGUGGUGAUGAAUUAGGCAGGUCUGGUGAAUUAGGCAGGUCUGGUGAAUUAGGCAGGUCUGGUGAAUUAGGCAGGUCUGAUGAAUUAGGCAGGUGUGAUGAAUUAGGCAGGUCUGGUGAAUUAGACAGUGGUGAUGAAUUAGGCAGGUCUGGUAAAUUAGACAUGGUUACGCAAGACAAAAACAAAAGUAGGGUGGCUGGGC